rnacentral:rRNA from 1 species
UACGUAGGUGGCGAGCGUUGUCCGGAAUUAUUGGGCGUAAAGGGUGCGUAGGCGGUUUGAUAAGUCUUGUGUGAAAUCUCUGGGCUCAACCCAGGGGCUGCACAGGAAACUGUCGGGCUUGAGAGUGGGAGAGGUGAGUGGAAUUUCCGGUGUAGCGGUGAAAUGCGUAGAUAUCGGAAGGAACACCUGUGGCGAAAGCGGCUCACUGGACCAUUUCUGACGCUGAUGCACGAAAGCUAGGGGAGCAAACAGG